rnacentral:rRNA from 1 species
GGUUAAGCGACUAAGCGUACACGGUGGAUGCCCUGGCAGUCAGAGGCGAUGAAGGGCGUGCUAAUCUGCGAUAAGCGCCGGUAAGGUGAUAUGAACCGUUAUAACCGGCGAUACCCGAAUGGGGAAACCCAGUGUGAUUCGUCACACUAUCAUUAACUGAAUCCAUAGGUUAAUGAGGCGAACCGGGGAACUGAAACAUCUAAGUACCCCGAGGAAAAGAAAUCAACCGAGAUUCCCCCAGUAGCGGCGAGCGAACGGGGAGGAGCCCAGAGCCUGAAUCAGCAUGUGUGUUAGUGGAAGCGUCUGGAAAGGCGCGCGAUACAGGGUGACAGCCCCGUACACAAAAGCGCAUGUGCUGUGAGCUCGAUGAGUAGGGCGGGACACGUGGUAUCCUGUCUGAAUAUGGGGGGACCAUCCUCCAAGGCUAAAUACUCCUGACUGACCGAUAGUGAACCAGUACCGUGAGGGAAAGGCGAAAAGAACCCCGGCGAGGGGAGUGAAAAAGAACCUGAAACCGUGUACGUACAAGCAGUGGGAGCACAGGUUUACCUGUGUGACUGCGUACCUUUUGUAUAAUGGGUCAGCGACUUAUAUUCUGUAGCAAGGUUAACCGUAUAGGGGAGCCGUAGGGAAACCGAGUCUUAACCGGGCGUUAAGUUGCAGGGUAUAGACCCGAAACCCGGUGAUCUAGCCAUGGGCAGGUUGAAGGUUGGGUAACACUAACUGGAGGACCGAACCGACUAAUGUUGAAAAAUUAGCGGAUGACCUGUGGCUGGGGGUGAAAGGCCAAUCAAACCGGGAGAUAGCUGGUUCUCCCCGAAAGCUAUUUAGGUAGCGCCUCGUGAAUUCAUCUCCGGGGGUAGAGCACUGUUUCGGCUAGGGGGCCAUCCCGGCUUACCAACCCGAUGCAAACUGCGAAUACCGGAGAAUGUUAUCACGGGAGACACACGGCGGGUGCUAACGUCCGUCGUGAAGAGGGAAACAACCCAGACCGCCAGCUAAGGUCCCAAAGUCAUGGUUAAGUGGGAAACGAUGUGGGAAGGCCCAGACAGCCAGGAUGUUGGCUUAGAAGCAGCCAUCAUUUAAAGAAAGCGUAAUAGCUCACUGGUCGAGUCGGCCUGCGCGGAAGAUGUAACGGGGCUAAACCAUGCACCGAAGCUGCGGCAGCGACACUGUGUGUUGUUGGGUAGGGGAGCGUUCUGUAAGCCUGUGAAGGUGUGUCGUGAGGCAUGCUGGAGGUAUCAGAAGUGCGAAUGCUGACAUAAGUAACGAUAAAGCGGGUGAAAAGCCCGCUCGCCGGAAGACCAAGGGUUCCUGUCCAACGUUAAUCGGGGCAGGGUGAGUCGACCCCUAAGGCGAGGCCGAAAGGCGUAGUCGAUGGGAAACAGGUUAAUAUUCCUGUACUUGGUGUUACUGCGAAGGGGGGACGGAGAAGGCUAUGUUGGCCGGGCGACGGUUGUCCCGGUUUAAGCGUGUAGGUGUGUGUUCCAGGUAAAUCCGGUUCACUUUAACACUGAGGCGUGAUGACGAGGCACUACGGUGCUGAAGCAACAAAUGCCCUGCUUCCAGGAAAAGCCUCUAAGCAUCAGGUAACAUCAAAUCGUACCCCAAACCGACACAGGUGGUCAGGUAGAGAAUACCAAGGCGCUUGAGAGAACUCGGGUGAAGGAACUAGGCAAAAUGGUGCCGUAACUUCGGGAGAAGGCACGCUGACACGUAGGUGAAGUGAUUUACUCAUGGAGCUGAAGUCAGUCGAAGAUACCAGCUGGCUGCAACUGUUUAUUAAAAACACAGCACUGUGCAAACACGAAAGUGGACGUAUACGGUGUGACGCCUGCCCGGUGCCGGAAGGUUAAUUGAUGGGGUCAGCGCAAGCGAAGCUCCUGAUCGAAGCCCCGGUAAACGGCGGCCGUAACUAUAACGGUCCUAAGGUAGCGAAAUUCCUUGUCGGGUAAGUUCCGACCUGCACGAAUGGCGUAAUGAUGGCCAGGCUGUCUCCACCCGAGACUCAGUGAAAUUGAACUCGCUGUGAAGAUGCAGUGUACCCGCGGCAAGACGGAAAGACCCCGUGAACCUUUACUAUAGCUUGACACUGAACAUUGAGCCUUGAUGUGUAGGAUAGGUGGGAGGCUUUGAAGCGUGGACGCCAGUCUGCGUGGAGCCGACCUUGAAAUACCACCCUUUAAUGUUUGAUGUUCUAACGUGGACCCGUAAUCCGGGUUGCGGACAGUGUCUGGUGGGUAGUUUGACUGGGGCGGUCUCCUCCUAAAGAGUAACGGAGGAGCACGAAGGUUGGCUAAUCCUGGUCGGACAUCAGGAGGUUAGUGCAAUGGCAUAAGCCAGCUUGACUGCGAGCGUGACGGCGCGAGCAGGUGCGAAAGCAGGUCAUAGUGAUCCGGUGGUUCUGAAUGGAAGGGCCAUCGCUCAACGGAUAAAAGGUACUCCGGGGAUAACAGGCUGAUACCGCCCAAGAGUUCAUAUCGACGGCGGUGUUUGGCACCUCGAUGUCGGCUCAUCACAUCCUGGGGCUGAAGUAGGUCCCAAGGGUAUGGCUGUUCGCCAUUUAAAGUGGUACGCGAGCUGGGUUUAGAACGUCGUGAGACAGUUCGGUCCCUAUCUGCCGUGGGCGCUGGAGAACUGAGGGGGGCUGCUCCUAGUACGAGAGGACCGGAGUGGACGCAUCACUGGUGUUCGGGUUGUCAUGCCAAUGGCACUGCCCGGUAGCUAAAUGCGGAAGAGAUAAGUGCUGAAAGCAUCUAAGCACGAAACUUGCCCCGAGAUGAGUUCUCCCUGAGACUUAGAGUCUCCUGAAGGAACGUUGAAGACGACGACGUUGAUAGGCCGGGUGUGUAAGCGCAGCGAUGCGUUGAGCUAACCGGUACUAAUGAACCGUGAGGCUUAACCUU